AGUUAUGACAAAUUUGUUAUUAUCUACUGAUAUGAUAACAGUGAUUCAUAUCUACAGAAUUUAAAACCACUGUACUCUCUUCUGUUACUGUUGUAGUAACAUUGCACUUUUUUAAGAAGUAUACAUAGGUGCUUUUUAGGUUUAUGAUCUUAUUUAUAGUAUAUUUAAAGACACUUAUUUUAUUACAAGUUUGCACUUAAUUUUACCUCACCUAAUGUCGGAAUAUUGAGAACCUGAACAUUACAAUAUUACUUUAAUUUUGUUUUAUAUUCUCGUAUAUUUCCUGUCUUUAAUAACCUGAGUAAAACUGGAUGACAUGUUUAUUAUUACACUCUUCACAUAUAAAAAUUAUUUAUGCCUAACAAAAACAACCCCAGUUCCUGUUAGUUCCUGUCCUAGGCCUCCCGAUGAAUCCAAGUACUGCUAAUUGUGGCUGUUUACAACCAUCUUUAUCCAGAAUUGCAUCCUAUAUCCUUGAAACUUACAUCAGAAGUUCAAUAUAUUUCACUUAUAAGUCUGCAGUAAUUAUUAUCAGUUUAUAUAGAAAUUGUAGUAACUUGGUAAAAUUACUACAUAUCUCUUUUUAGUAGUAGUCUCUUACAAACAAUUAAUUCAUCACAUCAUAACAAAUAAAAAUAAUUGUAA